GAUGAACGCUAGCGGCAGGCCUAACACAUGCAAGUCGAGGGAGAAGCCCUUUCGGGGGCAGAAACCGGCGCACGGGUGCGUAACGCGUAUGCAACCUACCUUUCACAGGGGGAUAGCCCGAAGAAAUUUGGAUUAAUACCCCAUAAUAUUAUUGGAUGGCAUCAUUUGAUAAUUAAAGCUACGACGGUGAAAGAUGGGCAUGCGUUCUAUUGGCUAGUUGGAGUGGUAACGGCACCCCAAGGCUACGAUAGGUAGGGGUCCUGAGAGGGAGAUCCCCCACACUGGUACUGAGACAGGGACCAGACUCCUACGGGAGGCAGCAGUGAGGAAUAUUGGUCAAUGGUCGGAAGACUGAACCAGCCAUGCCGCGUGCAGGAAGAAUGCCUUAUGGGUUGUAAACUGCUUUUAUAUGGGAAGAAUAAGGCGUACGUGUACGUNGANGACG
rnacentral:rRNA from 1 species